rnacentral:rRNA from 1 species
UACGUAGGGUCCGAGCGUUGUCCGGAAUUAUUGGGCGUAAAGGGCUCAUAGGCGGUUCGUCACGUCGGGAGUGAAAACUCGGAGCUUAACUCCGAGCCUGCUUCCGAUACGGGCAGACUAGAGGUAGGCAGGGGAGAGCGGAACUCCUGGUGUAGCGGUGGAAUGCGCAGAUAUCAGGAAGAACACCGGUGGCGAAGGCGGCUCUCUGGGCCUUACCUGACGCUGAGGAGCGAAAGCGUGGGUAGCGAACAGG